GACGUAGGGUGCGAGCGUUGUCCGGAUUUAUUGGGCGUAAAGAGCUCGUAGGCGGUUUGUUGCGUCGGCUGUGAAAUCCCGAGGCUCAACCUCGGGUCUGCAGUCGAUACGAGCAAACUAGAGUGUUGCAGGGGAGACUGGAAUUCCUGGUGUAGCGGUGAAAUGCGCAGAUAUCAGGAAGAACACCCGUGGCGAAGGCGGCUUUCUGGGACGGUACUGACGCUGAGACGCGAAAGCGUGGGGAGCAAACAGG
rnacentral:rRNA from 1 species